rnacentral:rRNA from 1 species
UACAGAGGUCUCAAGCGUUGUUCGGAUUCAUUGGGCGUAAAGGGUGUGUAGGUGGCGCCGUAAGUCGGGUGUGAAAUUUCGGAGCUUAACUCCGAAACUGCAUUCGAUACUGCGGUGCUUGAGGACUGGAGAGGAGACUGGAAUUCAUGGUGUAGCAGUGAAAUGCGUAGAGAUCAUGAGGAAGACCAGUGGCGAAAGGCGGGUCUCUGGACAGUUCCUGACACUGAGACACGAAGGCCAGGGGAGCAAACGGG